UAAGACAGAGGGGGCAAGCGUUGCUCGGAAUCACUGGGCGUAAAGGGCGCGUAGGCGGGAUGGCAAGUCAGUCGUGAAAUCUCUCGGCUCAACCGAGAAACGUCGGCUGAUACUGCCGUUCUUGAGGGAUGCAGAGGAGACUGGAAUUCCCGGUGUAGCGGUGAAAUGUGUAGAGAUCGGGAGGAACACCGGUGGCGAAGGCGGGUCUCUGGGCAUUUCCUGACGCUGAGGCGCGAAAGCGUGGGGAGCAAACGGGAUUAGAUACCCCGGUAGUCCACGCUGUAAACGAUGGGCACUAGGUGUCCGGGGUAUUGACCCCCUGGGUGCCGCAGCUAACGCAUUAAGUGCCCCGCCUGGGGAGUACGGUCGCAAGAUUA
rnacentral:rRNA from 1 species